rnacentral:rRNA from 1 species
GACGAACGCUGGCGGCGUGCUUAACACAUGCAAGUCGAGCGGUAAGGCACCUUCGGGUGUACACGAGCGGCGAACGGGUGAGUAACACGUGAGCAACCUGCCUUCUCAUCGGAAUAAGCGUUGGAACGACGUCUAAUGCCGAAUACGACUUCGGACCGCAUGGUCUGAAGUGGAAAGCUCCGGCGGAGAAGGAUGGGCUCGCGGCCUAUCAGCUAGUUGGUGUGGGUAACGGCUCACCAAGGCGACGACGGGUAGCCGGCCUGAGAGGGUGACCGGCCACACUGGGGACUGAGACACGGCCCAGACUCCUACGGGAGGCAGCAGUGGGGAAUAUUGGACAAUGGGCGAAAGCCUGAUCCAGCAACGCCGCGUGAGGGAUGACGGCCUUCGGGUUGUAAACCUCUUUCAGCAGGGACGAAGCGAAAGUGACGGUACCUGCAGAAGAAGGACCGGCCAACUACGUGCCAGCAGCCGCGGUAAUACGUAGGGUCCGAGCGUUGUCCGGAAUUAUUGGGCGUAAAGGGCUCGUAGGCGGUUUGUCACGUCGGGAGUGAAAACCUCAGGGCUCAACCCUGAGCGUGCUUCCGAUACGGGGCAGGACUAGAGGUAUGCAGGGGAGAACGGAAUUUCCUGGUGUAGCGGUGGAAAAGCCGCAGAUAUCAGGAGGAACACCGGUGGCGAAGGCGUUCUCU